GUGGGGAAUCUUGCGCAAUGGGCGAAAGCCUGACGCAGCCAUGCCGCGUGAAUGAUGAAGGUCUUAGGAUUGUAAAAUUCUUUCACCGGGGACGAUAAUGACGGUACCCGGAGAAGAAGCUCCGGCUAACUUCGUGCCAGCAGCCGCGGUAAUACGAAGGGGGCUAGCGUUGCUCGGAAUUACUGGGCGUAAAGGGCGCGUAGGCGGACAGCUUAGUCAGAGGUGAAAGCCCAGGGCUCAACCUUGGAAUUGCCUUUGAUACUGGCUGUCUUGAGUUUGGGAGAGGUGAGUGGAACUCCGAGUGUAGAGGUGAAAUUCGUAGAUAUUCGGAAGAACACCAGUGGCGAAGGCGGCCAUCUGGACCAGCACUGACACUGAGGCACGAAAGCGUGGGGAGCAAACAGGAUUAGAAACCCCGGUAGUCC
rnacentral:rRNA from 1 species